rnacentral:lncRNA from 1 species
GAGCUGUUGUAAAGCGUAGUUUGCGCGAACUAUUGAUGCUUGCGAAACAGUGGUUGACAGGAAAUUCGACGUGACUUGUCCUAUCAACUGUAGUAUAACUAAUGAAAUGUGAGUUGUAAGUUGAUAGAACUUGGGGGAUAAAAAAUUGUCAUUUAAAAGACUGACCAGUGAUAAAAAAUGCAAUGAAUGGCAUUGCAGAGGUAUUGCUACGUAGCUGAGAUCUCCCCG